rnacentral:rRNA from 1 species
CGGGGGGAGCAAGCGUUGUUCGGAUUUACUGGGCGUAAAGGGCGCGUAGGCGGCCACCGCAAGUCGACUGUGAAAUCUCCGGGCUUAACCCGGAAAGGUCAGCCGAUACUGCGGGGCUAGAGUGCAGAAGGGGCAACUGGAAUUCUCGGUGUAGCGGUGAAAUGCGUAGAUAUCGAGAGGAACACCUGCGGCGAAGGCGGGUUGCGUGGGCUGACACUGACGCUGAGGCGCGAAAGCUAGGGGAGCGAACGGGAUUAGAUACCCCGGUAGUCCUAGCCUUAAACGAUGAAUGCUUGGUGUCUGGGGUUUUAUAGUCCCCGGGUGCCGUCGCCAACGCUUUAAGCAUUCCGCCUGGGGAGUACGGUCGCAAGACUG